GCCGCGGUGGUGGAACUGGUAGACACGAGGGACUUAAAAUCCCUUGGCCUAUGGUCGUGCGGGUUCAAGUCCCGCCCGCGGCA
rnacentral:tRNA from 1 species